ensembl:processed_transcript Gm29054 predicted gene 29054
GUAGGGAAACAUGGCUUUCCCUCUCCCGGCCUUCCGCCCGCAUCGCGCUCGCCCAGGGCACGGCCCAGGGGACACUCCGGACCCCGCCUAGCUCCUCUGAGUGCUUCCACGUUUUUCGAUUUCCCUGGCCCGGGAGACUCCUCUCAUUGCUUUCCCUCCACCCUGAGAACAACCUGAGUUUGCCAAGAGGAAACUCCUGCGAGGGGGAUGGAUACCCGCCCUGGCUGCUGGCAAGAGAUGGAAACCAUUCCAAGCAGGAGUUGAUGGAGAGGGGAGGACGUCCCUGGAGGGAAAGUAACACUCAGAGCUCCGUGCGGGGCGAGCGAGGACUUACCUUUCUCUUCGGCAUAAUGACUACGUUGGUGCAGCAAAAAAAGUAAAGCAAUGUUCUGGGCCGCCUGGCACACUGCUGGAUGCUGCCUGGCCGCUGCUGCUACUCCCGCAAUGGGCUCGGCUAGCCCGGCCUCUCCGACCUGCACCUCCGCUUCCUCCCCCGGCGCUCCACUCGCUCGCAUCCCGGUCCCCCAAUGGCGAGCCCUGCCAGCCAGCCGCGAGGCCCCAUUGGCUAAGAGAACGUUCUAAAUUCCACGAGGGCACGCCCACCCCCGUUCACCCGGUACGCGCAGUUGUAGUUUCCACUUCACUGGGAAAAAAAAAAAAAAUCUGCCUGGCGACUGAGCAUGCCCAGUUCAACUAGUAUCCUUCAGGCUGCACUAACUUGGAGUUUCAUUGUUUGACGUGCCUUCUUUGGAUUAAACCAUUGUGCAUCUUCAUAGGAAAAAAAAGUUUAGUAUUAAGUAAUGCUGGGUUAACUUUAUAAAGUAAAUAGGGCCACGGGGUGCCUUGUACAAUUGUUACUUAUAAAAGCUUGUAACGGGUGUUCAUGGUGCGGGUCUAUACAGGGUAGGAAGGUCUGUUCUGGAAGAGUUUCCACAGUUUCUAAGGUUCUCAGUUCCAUCUCUAGCAAAUACCAUCCCCCAUCCCCAUAGUUCCUUGGUCUAAUUGUUUUGUUUUUUGUUUUUCUUUAAGUCUGUGUUACAAGUCAUAUAUGAAUUCAGCCAAUUAUUCAGCUAUGUGUGAAUAAUUGUUAUAAUUGAUAUAAAUGUUUGUUGUGGAAACUAAGGGGAAAUCGAGAAAUGUAGGAACAAAUAAAUCACUUAUAUAUUAAAUAUGUACAUUUAAACG